rnacentral:rRNA from 1 species
CCUACGGGCGGCUGCAGUGGGGAAUAUUGGACAAUGGGGGGAACCCUGAUCCAGCCAUGCCGCGUGUGUGAAGAAGGUCCUCGGGUUGUAAAGCACUUUCAGUGAGGAAGAACGCCUGGUGGUUAAUACCCAUCAGGAAAGACAUCACUCACAGAAGAAGCACCGGCUAACUCCGUGCCAGCAGCCGCGGUAAUACGGAGGGUGCGAGCGUUAAUCGGAAUUACUGGGCGUAAAGCGCGCGUAGGUGGCUUGAUAAGCCGGUUGUGAAAGCCCCGGGCUCAACCUGGGAACGGCAUCCGGAACUGUCAAGCUAGAGUGCAGGAGAGGAAGGUAGAAUUCCCGGUGUAGCGGUGAAAUGCGUAGAGAUCGGGAGGAAUACCAGUGGCGAAGGCGGCCUUCUGGACUGACACUGACACUGAGGUGCGAAAGCGUGGGUAGCAAACAGGAUUAGAUACCCCAGUAGUC